ensembl:lncRNA
GAGAAACAGGGGCUUAUUUAAUCGUGCUACUGGCCCACAGUUGAGGUAGACACCUGGUCCAAGCUUGAUUAACCCAAUGCCUACUCACAGAAACUUGAAAUGUUAAUAAAGAAUUUCCAGUGACUUUUGGCAGUGGAGCUGGAAUGCAUGGAGAACUGGAGCUACAGAGAACCAGAAAGAGGCAGUCUGUAGGCAGAGAGAUAGCCCAAUCUUCAGGACAGAUUGUGAAUGAUCAGAAACCUAAAAAGCAGUUGUGUGUACCUCACGGCCAACUCCCAAGAGAUUUUUUAUUUAACUUCUCCAAAUCCUGGUGUGAGUGUGGCAAGAGCUCAAUGGAGACCAUCAAGGAUUCUAAUGAAAGAUAGAUGUUAAUACAAGCCCCACUUGUUCCUCGGGAUCUUCAAGUGUCACUCCUCUCCCGCACAUUCCCUCUGAUUGUCCAGGGACUUCCUACUCAACACUAGAAAAGAAGAAACAGUGGGGCUGAGAGUGUUCUACAAGUUCCUACAAUCAUGUAAGAUUGAUUCAUGUAUACAUCUCUGAUUCUACAUUAUUUCUAGUGGCUCUGAAUGAAUGUAGACUGAUAGGGACUUUUUCUCCUAAAUGCUUUUAUGUAUUUUAAGUCUGGUAUAUAUUAAGAUCCAUUCUUUUAAACUAUCAUGCUAUAUUUUACAAUUAUACUGCUAAAG